UACUCUGUACCAAAUAUUUCUUUCGUCGCGUGCUUUUCGAUCUUUACAAUAAUUGCUGUUUCUGCACAGGACGAGGCAAUUGUGUUCCAGGAACGAGACCCAUCCAUAAUUCAUGACAUACUGAAAGCACUUAUCGAUCAAGGCGCAUCGUUGAAAGAUCACCAUGUGCAGCAACGUCGUAUAAAAACCAGUAUUUACGUGAAUGAAAGCUUUCAUUUUGUGACGCCUGGUGGAGAGGAGUUUGUCAUCGAUAGUGAAAACGUUUACGAUGCUAGUAAAAUAAAAGUGGUGUCCAAAUUUAACAUAGACGAUGAAGAUGCUGCUAAACUGCUUCUAUCACUGUUGGGAGGUGGAAGUAUCAAGUCGGUGACCAUUAAAAA